rnacentral:rRNA from 1 species
UACGGGGGGGGCAAGCGUUGUUCGGAAUUACUGGGCGUAAAGGGCUCGUAGGCGGCCAACUAAGUCAUACGUGAAAUCCCUCGGCUUAACCGGGGAACUGCGUCUGAUACUGGAUGGCUUGAGAUUGGGAGAGGGAUGCGGAAUUCCAGGUGUAGCGGUGAAAUGCGUAGAUAUCUGGAGGAAUACCGGUGGCGAAGGCGGCAUCCUGGACCGGCAUUGACGCUGAGGAGCGAAAGCCAGGGGAGCAAACGGG